AAUAAUGGUGGCCUGGGUAGGGGAACCGAAAGGUUCGCCGGUAUCUGUGGAAGCCGGUCUGCUAACCCUGCUCAGGUCACCACCAGU
rnacentral:antisense_RNA from 1 species